rnacentral:lncRNA from 1 species
GGCCGGGACAACCGCCGCCGCCGCCGCCGCUGCCGCCGCCUCCUUCCCGACUUCUCGUGAGGGGAACCGACGAGAGCGGGGGACGGCAAGAGGAGGCCCGCCCCGGGCGGCCGGAGGCCAAGUGUCGGUGCGCGCCCCCUGCUGGCCAGGAGGAGUCACUGCGCCGCGCCGAGGCCGAGGCCGGGGCCCGGCGGGGCCGAGGGGGGCACGCACAAUAAAUAAUACAGUAUUUAUUGAGUGCCUGUCUGUGCCAAGCGCUUCGCCUGGGUUGCCUUCCUGACCAUUGCUUUGGGGAUCAUUCUAAAUGCUUCGCUGUGCCCUAAACACGCUCCGGCUCACCCUGGAAGCUGUCCACAGUUGGUGGCUUGUGUGUCUUCCUCCCGCUCCACCCAUGCUGUGCCCGGAGCUUGAUACCAGGUGCUCAGGAUGCAUGGAGGAAGAGCAUGAACUUUCUUAUCUGAUGCUCAUGACAACCAGAGAAAGCUGUGAGAUAGAAAAGGAUGGGGGGUGCUACAGAGAACAAGCAGCCAGUGUGCACUUCCUGGACGUCGGAGCGCCGUGUCGGGGUGUACCCUUCGGAGCACGUGCUGAGUACAGAUGCCAGACGCCCGCGGGGCAUGGGUCUCUGGACACCAGGGCCGUAGCACUGACAGGUGGACACCUGGCAUCGCCACAGCGGCUACAGAUGUGCCCCCCCCCACUGUCCCUGCUGCUGAGGACCUGCCUUGGUGCUUCUACCUGCUCUUACAUGCGCGUGUUCUCUCAGCAGCUGGAUUCUAUGCUUUCAGAAUGGCCCAAGCCAUCCCCUUCUGCCUGCCUCCUUCCCUAG